rfam:Brassica napus, WGS project CCCW01000000 data, contig: 13638
AAUCCAUGGUGUGGACAGUCUCUUUGGUAGAACUUGAAUCUGAUCCAAGAGUCUCUGAAUGAUUCUGCAGGCUCCUGAGUGAAUGUAGAAAUCUUGCUCCUCAAGUCU